rnacentral:lncRNA from 1 species
CCAGGAGGUGGAUGGAUAUCCCUCUCCCAUUGGUCAGCAAUCUAUCCUUCUUGCGUUCUCAGAUUUCCUUCAGAUUUGGUGGCUCCCACUCUCUCUCACACAAACUGCAGUAUAACACAACUACGCCACACAACCAGCGACAGAGGAACGCCAAGGCCCUCAUCAUCAUCAAGCACAGCAACCCAGUUGUCUCAGGCGGUGUUUCUUUCCCUUGUAAGCCAAGAGCAAUGGUCAUGGCCUCCACCUCUGCUGCAGUGCUCCAAGGCAUCUCCACCCCUUUCCUCUCGGGCUCCAGGGCCGCCCGGAGUCUUCUGAACGCCACCGCCGGCGGCAGGGCUUCCUCAGCAGCAGCAGGUUCUCCGAGGAGGCUCCUUGUCGUCACCGCCGCCGCCCCGAAGAAGUCCUGGAUCCCGGCGGUCA